rnacentral:rRNA from 1 species
GGGGACAACAUUUGGAAACAGAUGCUAAUACCGCAUAACAACGUUGUUCGCAUGAACAACGCUUAAAAGAUGGCUUCUCGCUAUCACUUCUGGAUGGACCUGCGGUGCAUUAGCUUGUUGGUGGGGUAAUGGCCUACCAAGGCGAUGAUGCAUAGCCGAGUUGAGAGACUGAUCGGCCACAAUGGGACUGAGACACGGCCCAUACUCCUACGGGAGGCAGCAGUAGGGAAUCUUCCACAAUGGGCGCAAGCCUGAUGGAGCAACACCGCGUGAGUGAAGAAGGGUUUCGGCUCGUAAAGCUCUGUUGUUAAAGAAGAACACGUAUGAGAGUAACUGUUCAUACGUUGACGGUAUUUAACCAGAAAGUCACGGCUAACUACGUGCCAGCAGCCGCGGUAAUACGUAGGUGGCAAGCGUUAUCCGGAUUUAUUGGGCGUAAAGAGAGUGCAGGCGGUUUUCUAAGUCUGAUGUGAAAGCCUUCGGCUUAACCGGAGAAGUGCAUCGGAAACUGGAUAACUUGAGUGCAGAAGAGGGUAGUGGAACUCCAUGUGUAGCGGUGGAAUGCGUAGAUAUAUGGAAGAACACCAGUGGCGAAGGCGGCUACCUGGUCUGCAACUGACGCUGAGACUCGAAAGCAUGGGUAGCGAACAGGAUUAGAUACCCUGGUAGUCCAUGCCGUAAACGAUGAGUGCUAGGUGUUGGAGGGUUUCCGCCCUUCAGUGCCGGAGCUAACGCAUUAAGCACUCCGCCUGGGGAGUACGACCGCAAGGU